CCUACGGGCGGCAGCAGUGGGGAAUAUUGGAAAUGGGCAAAAGCCUGAUCCAGCCAUGCCGCGUGUGUGAAGAAGGCCUUCGGGUUGUAAAGCACUUUCAGUGGGGAAGAAAGCCUUGGGGCUAAUACCCUCGAGGAAGGACAUCACCCACAGAAGAAGCACCGGCUAACUCCGUGCCAGCAGCCGCGGUAAUACGGAGGGUGCGAGCGUUAAUCGGAAUUACUGGGCGUAAAGCGCGCGUAGGCGGUCUGAUAAGCCGGUUGUGAAAGCCCCGGGCUCGACCUGGGAACGGCAUCCGGAACUGUCAGGCUAGAGUGCAGGAGAGGAAGGUAGAAUUCCCGGUGUAGCGGUGAAAUGCGUAGAGAUCGGGAGGAAUACCAGUGGCGAAGGCGGCCUUCUGGACUGACACUGACGCUGAGGUGCGAAAGCGUGGGUAGCAAACAGGAUUAGAUACCCCAGUAGUC
rnacentral:rRNA from 1 species